UUUUAUCUUAUUGUAAGACCCCCUUUCGGGGACCCCCACUCUAGUCUCAGGAGUGUGAGAGCACCCAAAGAAACACGAGGACCC
rnacentral:pre_miRNA from 7 species